UGCGGCGGCCAUGGCCCAGGUGAGACGCCCGGUCCCAUUCCGAACCCGGAAGCUAAGGCCUGG
rnacentral:rRNA from 1 species